AGCCUUAUAUUCACAUAAUGAUUGUAGAAUGCAAUUCUAUAGGAGUAAUAAAAUUACUAAGGCUU
rnacentral:tRNA from 1 species